rnacentral:rRNA from 1 species
UACAGAGACUGCAAGCGUUAUUCGGAUUCACUGGGCGUAAAGGGUGGGCAGGCGGCCAAGUGUGUGAGGCGUGAAAGCCCGGGGCUUAACCCCGGAAUUGCACCUCAAACUACAUGGCUAGAGCAUUGGAGAGGGUAGCGGAAUUCACGGUGUAGCAGUGAAAUGCGUAGAUAUCAAGAGGAACACCAGUGGCGAAGGCGGGUCCCUGGACAACACCUGACACUGAGGCACGAAAGCUAGGGGAGCAAACAGG